rnacentral:piRNA from 1 species
UCUACAGCAUACAUCGGAUCUACGGCACACC